rnacentral:misc_RNA from 1 species
GAUUAAGAACGCAGUGAAAUGCGAUACGUAAUGUGAAUUGCAGAAUUCAGUGAAUCAUCGAGUCUUUGAACGCACAUUGCGCCCCCUGGUAUUCCGGGGGGCAUGCCUGUCCGAGCGUCAUUGCUGCCCUCAAGCACGGCUUGUGUGUUGGGCCUCCGUCCUCCUCCCGGGGGACGGGCCCGAAAGGCAGCGGCGGCACCGCGUCCGGUCCUCGAGCGUAUGGGGCUUCGUCACCCGCUCUUGUAGGCCCGGCCGGCGCUUGCCGACACAUCAAUCUUUUUUCCAGGUUGACCUCGGAUCAGGUAGGGAUACCCGCUGAACUUAAGCAUAUCAAUAAGCGGAGGA